UUUGAAUAAAUGAUGAAUUUCCGAGGAGCUAGGUUGUCGAUUUGUUGUUUGGAGCUGAUUUUGUGUGUUGCAUUGCAUGUUUUUCGCUUGUUUGUGCUAAAAUUUCGCGUUUGUUUACUCUUAAAAUACGGAAAUGGGAAUGGGAGUAGGGAUUUUAGAUUUUUCUCCGAUGUUGUUAUGGGUUCCACAAGCAAUUGGAAUUAUCCGUAAAAUGUGUAAAUUGCAUUGAGGGCCAGAUUUUUUUUUUUUAUUGGUUCAUUGGCCCACAUAAGCUCAAAUGAUUUCUUUUUGAAAAAUCAUAUUCCAAAAGUUUGAGAAACUGUUUCUCUAAAUCUUGAUUGCAAGGCUCGUUGUGCAGGAGGAGUAUUAAGGUUUUCUAAUAUAUUGUUUGGUAGAAAUCUUGAUCUUGUAGGCUGGAGUUCGUUGUCAUGUGGGACCUGUGACUUAUAAUUAUGAUUUGCUCCUCAUAGGGUAAAUGAUGAGAAUUUCAAGUCCAUACGUAGUUGUUGAUAGUGAUUGGAAACUUAGUCGUUAAGCAUUGGUUCAUUAUGGUCCAUAUUUCCUAUAACAGUAAAAAAUUAAUUGCCUCUGCAAGAAAAACUAUAAUUUCACAAAACAAAUUGGCAUAUUGAAUGCCCCGAUAACAUUGGUAAGUAUUGAGUGGCAGCCUCUAAAAAUAUAAAUUUAACUCUUUGGAAGCCUUUUUUAUGAAUUAUAACACAGGAACACCAAAUUUGGUUGUCUCAAUUUUUUGCUAGUAUAUUCCAUUUUUUGUCCAUUCACAAUUUUUGCUUCAUUGUUGCUUGCAAACUUUGAUAUGUUUUCUUGUAAAUACAAAGAUGGAGGAAAUCAAAGAUGGUUAUCCCAUUCAUCAAAAUUUUUUUUGCAAUCCAUAAAAAAUUGCCCACAACACUAUGUUCUUGUUAUUCAAGAACAUCACUUAUAGUUCAAACUAUGAUCAUGCAAUCCAUCAUUUGAAGCGUUUUUUUUCCUUUUAUUGAUUCAUUAGUUAAUAUACUUGUAGGCCAUGCAAUGUUUUUCUUUCCCUCUUUCUUGUCAUAUUUUAGUAAUUACAUAUUGAGACAUAAUUUCAACAACAGUUAAAGAGGCAUAAAAAAAGGAGCUCUGGUCUGGAAAAGACAGUUACUAUGAAGUUAUAAAUUUUAAAUGUAAAACUGCAAUCAUAAGCUCUUUUAGUGCUAAUGACUGAACAAAUGUUUCCAUUUUAUGUUUUCUAAACUGUUAUCUAUUUGAUCAUUUGUUCUGUUCCUUUUCUUUUGGCUAAAUGUACCCCCAGUUACAUAAUAAAGUGCCAGGAUGGUUGCACAGGGCUUCACUGUUGAUCUCAAUAAGCCUCUUGUCUUCCAGGUUGGUCAUCUGGGAGAAGCUUAUGAGGAAUGGGUUCACCAGCCUAUUGUAAGCAAGGAGGGCCCUCGAUUUUUUGAGAGUGAGUUUUGGGAGUUCUUGACUCGUACAGUCUGGUGGGCAAUUCCAGUUAUUUGGCUGCCAGUUGUAUGCUGGUGCAUCUCAAUGUCUGUACGAAUGGGCCACACACCUUCUGAGAUAGCCUUAAUGGUGGGUUUUGGCAUUUUUAUCUGGACAUUGUUGGAAUACAGUUUACACCGCUUCCUUUUCCACAUCAAAACAAAGAGUUAUUGGUGGAACACCAUACACUAUCUUCUUCAUGGCUGCCAUCAUAAGCACCCUAUGGAUGGUUUGCGGCUUGUUUUUCCUCCAGCUGCUACAGCUGUUCUGUGUGUGCCAUUCUGGAACUUGGUUCAACUUAUAUCCACUCCCUCAAUUGCUCCUGCUCUGUUUGGAGGUGGUUUAUUGGGUUAUGUUAUGUAUGAUUGCACUCAUUACUACUUGCAUCAUGGUCAGCCUUCAAGUGGAGUACCAAAAGAUCUGAAGAAAUACCACUUGAAUCAUCACUUCAGGAUCCAGAAUAUGGGAUUUGGAAUUACUUCGUCGCUAUGGGACAAGGUGUUUGGAACACUUCCUCCAGUGAAAGUGGUUGAAAAGAGUAGAUAAUUUAAUUUGGAGGUGCAGCAUUACUAGUGAGGGUCAGGGUGGGUGGAUUUGAAGCAUCAUCAUUACUUGAUUCCCAAACAUUAUUUCUUCUUCAAUCAAUUGAUUUAUAGUAAUGUUAAUCAAAAUGGAGACCAGGGUUUUACCAUGUUUGUGGAUAUUAUGAAUUUGGUGGUGUCAUUUUCCUAUGAGAAAUCCUGUGUAAAUUAGUUUGCCAGUUAUUGGUGAAGAGAAAAAGUUCCAUUCGUCAAUAUUUGCCUUGUGCUUUCAUUCUAUUUCUUUCCAUGGUUACCAGCAGGAUGUCCCUUGUAGGAGUUGUGUUAAAGAGUGCAAUUUGUAUUGUAGGAAGAAGGAAACAUGGCUAAAGGCAAUAUCAUCCGACUGGCAAAUGGAAAGUUUUCACUCUUUUAAUUUCCUCUAUCUGUCAAUAUAUGCUAAAUGC
rnacentral:misc_RNA from 1 species